rnacentral:misc_RNA from 1 species
AGAAAUUUCAAGGAGAGAGGAAGGAAUAGAGGGAAAGAAGAAAGAAAGAGAGAAGAGCAAAGAAAAACUUGGAAUUCUGGAAGACUCCCAUUAAUCUGCCCAAAGUUGGGACUCCAACAAAAAAUAUUGGAAGCAAACCCAGCUUAGAUCAAGACUCUGAUUACGAAUUUGUUACAUAACAGCCCGCACACUUAGUGAAACAGAGGAGUAGGAAGAGAAAGAGAGAAAAAUAGAUGAGAAAAGAGAUAGAUUG